UACGAAGGGUGCAAGCGUUAAUCGGAAUUAUUGGGCGUAAAGGGCGCGUAGGCGGCCUGGCAAGUGGAAGGUGAAAUCCCUCGGCUUAACCGAGGAACUGCCCUCCAAACUGCUUGGCUUGAGUCCGGGAGAGGUGAGUGGAAUUCCCAGUAUAGCGGUGAAAUGCGUAGAUAUUGGGAGGAACACCAGUGGCGAAGGCGGCUCACUGGACCGGAACUGACGCUGAGGCGCGAAAGCGUGGGGAGCAAACGGG
rnacentral:rRNA from 1 species